CUCACUGCUCAAUCCUCUGCCAUUUAGGAGUUAAAUCCCUUUGUUUAUGAACCCUAGUCACACCUCCCUGCAUGUGACUUGCACAGCCUUCCAUAAACACUUCCUGCUAAGAGUGAUUAUAAUCAAACAUUCUGCAUAAUUUUGAAUUUGUUAUCUCCUGCUCUGUUAAAAGGUUUCUAAACCCUACAGGAGCUUCCUGUAUAUACUGAUAGAGCAGGAGGUACAAACAUUUAAAGUUGCCUCUGUUUUCAUGCAGGCUGUGCCAGUGACAGUCAGGGGAGGUGCAUGGUCAGAAACAAACGUGAUUUAACUUCUAAAUGGCAGAGAAUUGAGCAGUGA